UGCUUAGAUAGUGACCAAUGUGAACUGAGGGCAGAGGAAGCUUCUAGAGUGUAUUGCAAUGUGAGAAGCACUGAGCAGAAGAUGAAUAUUUAUAAGUGACAAGAGUGGUCAUCAUUAUGGAAGACGCAACACGGUUGGAUUCUUCUCAACAGCCUUUACUGCAGGACACCUUCUUUGUUGAUACAGGGAGGCGGCGGCAGCCAGCCCUAAGUGUUACAGCUCCAAGUGUUACAGCUCCAAGUGUUACAGCUUUAAGUGUUACCCCGCCGAGCGGCAAAGCCGCUCGGCUUAUAUACACAACAGUAUGCUAAUCUUCUUUCAGGGAUUGGUGGGGCAUGAGUCACCCCACUGCAUCCCAGCUACUUGUCCUCCAGAGAUUGGCGAGGCAUGAACUCCCAUUUAGCAUAGUACCGCCCCAGCCAGACUGACGUCAGGUGCAAAACUCCACGCAUGCUCAGUACUGUUGUUAGGAGGGCGCCAGAUUCACCUCAUUAUCAUACAGCUGUCGCACCGCUCCCUACACUCUCCCUGUUUUU
rnacentral:lncRNA from 1 species